rnacentral:lncRNA from 10 species
GUAAGCAGCAGCUCCCCCCACACACGGCCCUCCCCACACACACACACCCGGCGGCUCCCCCCACCACACGGUGACUCCCCCUCACACAGCAGCUCCCCCCACACACGGCCCUCCCCCCACACACACACACCCGGCGGCUCCCCCCACCACACGGUGACUCCCCCUCACACAGCAGCUCCCCCCACACACGGCCCUCCCCCCACACACACCUGGCGGCUCCCCCCACCACACGGUGACUCCCCCUCACACAGCAGCUCCCCCCACACACGGCCCUCCCCACACACACACACCCGGCGGCUCCCCCCACCACACGGUGACUCCCCCUCACACAGCAGCUCCCCCCACACACGGCCCUCCCCACACACACACACCCGGCGGCUCCCCCCACCACACGGUGACUCCCCCUCACACAGCAGCUCCCCCCACACACGGCCCUCCCCACACACACACACCUGGCGGCUCCCCCCACCACACGGUGACUCCCCCUCACACAGCAGCUCCCCCCACACACGGCCCUCCCCACACACACACACCCGGCGGCUCCCCCCACCACACGGUGACUCCCCCUCACACAGCAGCUCCCCCCACACACGGCCCUCCCCCCACACACACACCCGGCGGCUCCCCCCACCACACGGUGACUCCCCCUCACACAGCAGCUCCCCCCACACACGGCCCUCCCCCCACACACACACCCGGCGGCUCCCCCACACAGAGCUGGGAGGCUCCAGUACUCUCGGAGCUUGGCUGGGGCUCCUGGGGAGGGCCGUGGCUCCUCCUCACCCGCUGGGGAGCCAGGAGUUCCGUGAGUGGUUGAAGCCCUGCUGGGAGGGUUGGGCGUUUCCAGCCAUUCUCACACGGCUUCUCAGCCGGGGUCUCCCACCCCGGCCCUGGCCCUGGGCCUGCCCUCACUGCCUCCUCCCCAUCCCCUACCCCUAGAGGCCUCCUGCCCUGGUCACCUACGCGUCACCUAAGCCCCGAGGCCAGGCGGCUUCUUGUCUACUAAAGACUUCCGGAGAGAGGCAUUCACCCUGUGGUCAGAGCUGGGGUUUCCAUGGAGGAGCACCACAGCCAUAAAGAAAGGCUGGUGAGCCCCAGAGCGGAGGACCCUGCCGAGCUGUUUCCAGACUCCUGAUCCACAGAAACCGUGAGAGGAUAACAUUGUUCUGCUUGAAGCCACUACACCUGCCGUCACUUGUCUCGCAUCAUUAGGGAACCAACGUGCUCUGGAAGACAGCAACUCUCAGGGUCCAUUCCGCUGACACCAGCGCCUCAGAUGACACAGGACGUGGCAUGGUGGCUAUUGACUCAUCAAGGGAACAGCAAUGGCCACUCUGCACCUUGCAUUCCUAUCCUUUUUUGGGCUUCAGAUCAGAAAUCGCAACUUUUGCGUGGAGAUCCUGGGCCUCCACACUGCUGGCCUCCCAUCGUCCCAAGAAUGACUCCCUGGAAAGAGCCUGUUCAGACCCUUUGUGACUGGACUCUACUGUAAGAGGAGAAUCAAAUGCUUGCAAGAAAACUGUAAAGCAGAGUUUCCUAAAAUACAUUUCAUAAGCGUGAGUGCCAGGAGUGCCUUAAAAAUGUGACUCUAUUGUCAAAUAAGUUGGGCAAUUUACUGAAGUAUACAUGAAUAUGUUAAAACCUCCAAGGAGUCCUGAAUUUAAAACAAACCUACACACAAAAACAAAGAACAGGGUGCCUGCUCGCUCAUCACACAGGUUGGAUAAGAUCGACAGGAAAAACCCCUCCAACAGCACAGCAGAGCAGCACAGAGCCCUGCCUCUCUCCAGCUGGGGAAGUCGGGAGCUGAAGUGGAAAGCUGGUUGAAGAACAAUGUGAAAAAAAUGAGGCCUGACUCAAUUCCUAAAAGCGGCUGCCUGACCUUAUGCAAGCCACAGCUUCUAUUUACAAACCCAGGAAACUGGACAAAAUACUGAAAGGAUCCCCUAAGAUAAUGAGAGUUAACAACAGAUGCAAAGCAAGGUUCUGUGGAAAUGUAAGGUCGUGUUACCACGCAGGGCUGAAAAGCUUUCCUGACUACUUUCUGAUUUGCGUAUACUAAGGACUAUUUCAAGAGGGUGACAUUUUAUGAAUUAAAGGCAUGCCACUUCCAUUCACAGUGCUGUUCUGAGAGAUUCGAUUCUGUCCUUGACAAUCUAAGAAAAUCUUAACUCUGCAUUAUGUAAAUACUAAGGACACGGGGUGUUUCGAAUGAGACCAACCUCGUAUCUCUCUCAACUCCCUCUCCUCCCGGGGCCACCCUUUUCUUUAAUUGAAAGCACAAUAAACUUAAUCAGCUGCUCCUAACGAUGCCUGCCCCAGCCUGGGAGAUUCAGCAAGGCUUGGGGCGUGCAUGACAAAGAAACACACACUCCAGAAUCUCACUUUUGUUAUUCCCCAGCCAUCUUUUGUUAUGUGGCAUGGGAAAAAUCUUAAUGAGCCUGCCCUGCUGCUGCAGAAAUUCUUGUCAGAUGAAAAGCAGCCCCUCCUUCCACCUGGCAAGGGCUUACAGAGAACACAGCAGCCCACAUCUACUCACGUUUCCUGAAACAAUCCCCUAUUUAACUUCCUAGGCAACAGAAAAUCUGAAGAAAAUGAGAUACCACAGAAGAUGAAUUUGAUGUAACAAAAAGGUGUUUUAAAAAGAUAAGUAGAGAGGCCAUCCUACAAAAUUUCAUGGCUGACAAUGGUAAAAAAGAUGCAGAAAAGGACCAUCUGGCCUGAAAAAUUCAGCCGGGGUCGGGGGAGGGGGUCCCGCAGCAGAGGCCAGGCCUUCAAGGAUGGGGAUCCUCUUCUGUCUUCCUUUUCUCAAAAUGUUUGUUGGAUGAUGGACUUAAUUUUAAAACCCCAAGUCACUGCGGUUUAGCCAGCUAUGGAUGAUGAAAGCACUACAAUCAUUGAAACUGACAAGGAGGCAGUUUCCUUCAAAAAUACGAAAACUGUACGCAGAGUACAUGGAGAAAAAUGUGACACAAGCAUUUGGACACACUACUAAACAACAACAUGGGACAAUAUAGACAACAAUUGGAAAUACACUUUGAGGAGGUAAAAAGUUCAGUAUUCACUGGCUUCCUUUUGGAGGUUGUUAAAUUGCUGAAAUUCAAAUAAAAGUCAUUGAGCCAUUGUGUCUGUCAGCUGUGCCUCUAUCUCACCCCCGGGUGGGUGGAGGUCCCCCUGGCUUUAUUCUCUGUGUUGUUGCUGCAGAUCCAGAUUCAGGAUUCCGCCCUGAAGGUCUGCGUUCCCUCCCGAGACAGCCUCUGUUUCAAAAUGCACAGCCAUUCUUGACAGACAAGAAAGGGAUGUUGAAAAACAAGUCAUGCUUUGGAUUCGUGUGGCUUUGAGAUACAGAACGAAUGAAUUAUUUCCUGCCUGGCCCAGAACACUUUGCCUCGGUACAGGAGUGUCAAGGCAGAGUGGGUGGGGAAGAUGAAGGGUGAGGGAAGCAAUUGCAAUUAAAAUCCAUAAGGAGCCGGAGAAGGUGGUGCUCAUAGAUGGAUCCCCUAACUGAGUUUAGAGGGCACAGGAGGAGGCGAAGGGAAGCAGUCUUUCAUAUAUGUGACUUAGGAAAUAUAUAAGGAUUGUGUAUUUUACGGCACUUAUGAGAUGGGAUAAUUCCUUGACUCUUUCAUGGGUAGGAACUGGAGUGCACCUCUGGGUCCAGUUGGCCACUUCAGCACUAGCAGGGACGAACUUCAAUCACUUGAACCUGCUGGACUCAACCCCUCAUGGGAGGGAGCACAUAGGCGAGUGGGUGCUGGGACCCUGGCAAGGGC